rnacentral:rRNA from 1 species
UACGUAGGGGGCAAGCGUUGUCCGGAAUCAUUGGGCGUAAAGCGCGUGUAGGCGGACUGGAAGGUCUGGUGUGAAAGCCCGGGGCUCAACCCCGGAGGGUCACUGGAAACCGACAGUCUUGAGUCCGGAAGAGGAGAGUGGAAUUCCUGGUGUAGCGGUGAAAUUCGUAGAUAUUAGGAAGAACACCGGUGGCGAAGGCGGCCCACUGGAUCGGUACUGGACGCUGAGGUGCGAAAGCGUGGGGAGCAAACAGG